GUGACUUCCUGAAAGCGUGUCGCAGGCUUUGGGAGAUCCAGACCAAACGCGCUUAAAGAGCUGGGGAAACUCAGCAGGUCAGUCAGCAUCUAUGGAGAUAAAUAAACAGUCGACGUUUCGGGCCGAGACCCUUCAACAGGACAGAGUGGAGUGACAUUACCUGUGGUUGAAUUGAUGACUCUCACAGAAUCUGAGUCAGAAGGUUGUGGUUUCAUAUCCAAUUCCAGAGAUUAAAGAACAAAAUUCUAGACUGCCAUCCCAGUACAGUUGAUUUAUUUAUCUCCAUCAUUAUACUGGAAAUUACAUUUCAAAAGCAUUUCAUUGGUUGUAAGCUGUUUUGGAAUGUUCAGCAAGGAACAUAAAAGGCUUCAGGAACAUAGCAACUGGAAAAGACAAGUUUACUAUUCGGCAUGAACACAGCAUUAUGGCUGAUCUAUGAUCAUAUACCUUCCUGUUUCUCAUAUUCCUAAAUGUCCUGUAUUUCGGUAUUUAAGAAAGCUAUCAAUCUCAGCUUUAAAACUACUGUUGGUGUAGCACCAAUGCUACCUGUGGAAGCGAAUUACAAAUUUCUAUUAAUCUUUGUUUGCAUAGUAUUUCACACCUUUACUCAUUAAAGACUCAACUGUAAUAUU